rnacentral:rRNA from 1 species
UACGUAAGUGGCGAGCGUUAUCCGGAAUUACUGGGCGUAAAGCGUACGUAGGCGGCUUUGUAAGUUAGAGGUGAAAGCCCGGGGCUCAACUCCGGAAUUGCCUUUAAGACUGCAUAGCUUGAAUCAUGGAGAGGUGAGUGGAAUUCCGAGUGUAGAGGUGAAAUUCGUAGAUAUUCGGAAGAACACCAGUGGCGAAGGUGGCUCACUGGCCCGGUACUGACGCUGAGGUGCGAAAGCGUGGGGAGCAAACAGG